rnacentral:rRNA from 1 species
CCUACGGGCGGCAGCAGUGGGGAAUAUUGCACAAUGGGGGAAACCCUGAUGCAGCGACGCCGCGUGAGUGAAGAAGUAUCUCGGUAUGUAAAGCUCUAUCAGCAGGGAAGAAAAUGACGGUACCUGACUAAGAAGCCCCGGCUGACUACGUGCCAGCAGCCGCGGUAAUACGUAGGGGGCAAGCGUUAUCCGGAUUUAUUGGGUGUAAAGGGGGCGUAGACGGCAGCGCAAGUCUGGAGUGAAAUGCCGGGGCCCAACCCCGGGACUGCUUGGGAAACUGUGCAGCUCGAGUGCAGGAGAGGUAAGCGGAAUUACUAGUGUAGCGGUGAAAUGCGUAGAUAUUAGGAGGAACACCGGUGGCGAAGGCAGCUUACUGGACUGUAACUGACGUUGAGGCUCGAAAGCGUGGGGAGCGAACAGGAUUAGAUACCCCAGUAGUC